UACGUAGGGGGCAAGCGUUGUCCGGAAUUAUUGGGCGUAAAGAGCGUGUAGGCGGCCAGGUAGGUCUGCUGUGAAAACUCGAGGCUCAACCUCGAGACGUCGGCGGAAACCAUCUGGCUAGAGUCCGGAAGAGGAGAGUGGAAUUCCUGGUGUAGCGGUGAAAUGCGCAGAUAUCGGGAAGAACACCCGUGGCUAAGGCGGCUCUCUAGUACGGUACUGACGCUGAGACGCGAAAGCGUGGGGAGCGAACAGG
rnacentral:rRNA from 1 species